UCCUCCGUGGCGCAAUUGGCUAGCGCGUCUGACUGUUACUACUGGUACUCUCGGUGGAACGCAAUCAGGAGGUUGACAGUUCAAGCCUGUCCGGGGGAG
rfam:Microdochium bolleyi strain J235TASD1 unplaced genomic scaffold Micbo1qcscaffold_5, whole genome shotgun sequence.